rnacentral:rRNA from 1 species
GAUGAACGCUGGCGGCGUGCCUAAUACAUGCAAGUCGAGCGAACAGACGAGGAGCUUGCUCCUCUGACGUUAGCGGCGGACGGGUGAGUAACACGUGGAUAACCUACCUAUAAGACUGGGAUAACUUCGGGAAACCGGAGCUAAUACCGGAUAAUAUAUUGAACCGCAUGGUUCAAUAGUGAAAGACGGUUUUGCUGUCACUUAUAGAUGGGUCCGCGCCGCAUUAGCUAGUUGGUAAGGUAACGGCUUACCAAGGCGACGAUGCGUAGCCGACCUGAGAGGGUGAUCGGCCACACUGGAACUGAGACACGGUCCAGACUCCUACGGGAGGCAGCAGUAGGGAAUCUUCCGCAAUGGGCGAAAGCCUGACGGAGCAACGCCGCGUGAGUGAUGAAGGUCUUCGGAUCGUAAAACUCUGUUAUUAGGGAAGAACAAAUGUGUAAGUAACUAUGCACGUCUUGACGGUACCUAAUCAGAAAGCCACGGCUAACUGCGUG